CACCGGGAGCAGGCAGGCAGCCCGUCUGUCGUCUCCCCUGGAUCUUCAGACCGAUCCUGGGUGGAUGGAGUUCAAUGGUCAUUAGUAUACAGAUAAAUAUUCAGUGGAGCCAUAAUUAGAUCAACAUUCUCAAGAGUCAAGUCAUAGAGACUGUGAUUUCGGCAACUGUGUUCUCCCAGAAGUGAUGGCCUUGCCAACAGAAUGGCACAAUCUGAAUGCUUCACCUGACGGUGGUCAGGUGUAUGCUUAGUUUAGCUAAUGUAAAAUGAUGUGGGGUUCUUGCUGUUGUCCGUACACAAAUCUUUUCAAUAAAGAUGUUUUGGGCUGA